AUUGAACGCUGGUGGCAGGCCUAACACAUGCAAGUCGAGCGGAUGAAGGGAGCUUGCUCCUGGAUUCAGCGGCGGACGGGUGAGUAAUGCCUAGGAAUCUGCCUGGUAGUGGGGGAUAACGUCCGGAAACGGGCGCUAAUACCGCAUACGUCCUGAGGGAGAAAGUGGGGGAUCUUCGGACCUCACGCUAUCAGAUGAGCCUAGGUCGGAUUAGCUAGUUGGUGGGGUAAAGGCCUACCAAGGCGACGAUCCGUAACUGGUCUGAGAGGAUGAUCAGUCACACUGGAACUGAGACACGGCCCAGACUCCUACGGGAGGCAGCAGUGGGGAAUAUUGGACAAUGGGCGAAAGCCUGAUCCAGCCAUGCCGCGUGUGUGAAGAAGGUCUUCGGAUUGUAAAGCACUUUAAGUUGGGAGGAAGGGCAGUAAGUUAAUACCUUGCUGUUUUGACGUUACCAACAGAAUAAGCACCGGCUAACUUCGUG
rnacentral:rRNA from 1 species